GACGAACGCUGGCGGCGUGCCUAAUACAUGCAAGUCGAACGCAGUGGGGACGGGUGAGUAACACGUGGGUAACCUCCCAUCAGAGGGGAUAACACUUGGAAAAAGGUGCUAAACCGAUAAUGACGGAUGGACCCGCGGUGCAUGAGCUAGUGGGUGAGGUCACGGCUCACCAAGGCCACGAUGCAUAGCCGGACUGAGAGGGUGAGCGGCCACACUGGGACUGAGACACGGCCCAGAAUCCUACGGGAGGCAGCAGUAGGGAAUCUUCGGCAAUGGACGAAAGUCUGACCGAGCAACGCCGCGUGAGUGAAGAAGGUUGUCGGAUCGUAAAACUCUGUUGGUAGAGAAGCGGUAUCUAACCAGAAAGCCACGGCUAACUCCGUGCCAGCAGCCGCGGUAAUAC
rnacentral:rRNA from 1 species